rnacentral:tRNA from 17 species
GUUGGGAUAGCUCAGUUGGUAG